UACAGAGGUCUCAAGCGUUGUUCGGAUUCAUUAGGCGUAAAGGGUGCGUAGGUGGCGCCGUAAGUCGGGUGUGAAAUUUCGGAGCUUAACUCCGAAACUGCAUUCGAUACUGCGGUGCUUGAGGACUGGAGAGGAGACUGGAAUUCAUGGUGUAGCAGUGAAAUGCGUAGAGAUCAUGAGGAAGACCAGUGGCGAAGGCGGGUCUCUGGACAGUUCCUGACACUGAGGCGCGAAAGCGUGGGGAGCAAACAGG
rnacentral:rRNA from 1 species